UCUACGCCGCGUGGGGGAGAGUCCCUUGAAUUGACACGGCUUGGCGGGAGUUCUGAUCAACAGUGGUCCUGGGCAAGGCGUCCCCCCCACAGGCGAGAUUCUCGCCCAAGCAGAAUUUUACAGGUCCAACUGGCGUGAAGCAGUCUGUCUAGCACUGCAACAGCAGUGGUUGUCCAACCAUGACGUUCAAUGGCAUAGCAGUCCGAAGAAAACAGGAGGUGCUCAUUGUGGCAGCAAUCAGCAAGCUGAUUAACAGUACCUAUUCACAUAAAGAAACAGCAUUUUUAGGAACAUGAUAUAGAUUAUUGUUUUUGGGGUAUAUAACAAUUAGGGUGGCUGUGGUUCUUUGUGCUAUGAUUUUGGCCGCUUGGGAAGCAGUAUGCGGAGGGUGUGUAACUCAAACUGGCUCUAGGUUUUCAACCAUAUGUUGAGUUGAAGCCUUGUAAUUUUUGGGGGGGGAUAAAAUUGAGGGAGGGCUCCCCCUUUUUAUUUGUGGUGUUAUUAGGGGAAGGAUAAGUAGUUGUCCAAUUUUGUCUUCUUUUUGUAACCUAGUUAAAGGUGUGUCAUUAGGUCCUAUAGGCCUAUUGUUUAAAAUAUGCAAAGCAGCGUUUAAAUGUGCAUACCAGUUUUGUAAAGAAUUUUUACUUAAUUUGUGUAGCUGUUGUUUUAACAAUUUAUUUAUUUUUUUAAUUAGACCAGCAGUUUGGGGUUAGUAAGGAAUAUGAUAUAUCCAUUUAAUAUAAUUUUUUUUUGGCAUAGGUUUGUAUUCACUUACCUGUAAAGUGGGAACCGUUGUCACUCUGAAUUUGUCUUGGUGUUUUAUAGUACAACUUAAUUGUAUUUAAUAAUUUUAUGGCACUCUGCUGGGUGUCUGCUUUAGUCGGCAUAGCUAAUAAAUAGCCGGAAUAUGUGUCAACAGCAGUGUAGACGUAAAUAUAGCCACAAGAAUUUGGCAAUGGUCCAAUAAAAUCUAUUUGUCAUGUAUGGGUGGGAAAUAAUCCCUUUUGGAUAUGACCUUGGUAGGGGUGUGGAACUCCCCAUUUAACUAUUGGCAUAUUGACAUUGUUGUACUGCAGUGGCAAUAUUAUCAUGGGUGAUAAGGAUUCUCCUUUGUUGUGCCCACCUGUAUGAAGCUUGUUCUCCCAAGUGUCCACUCUUUUCAUGGAUCCAUUGUGUUAAGUCUGGGUUGUGUGUUGCACGAAUUUGCACCAGCUGAUCAGCAUAAGAGUUAUAUUUUUGUUCUGUAGAAAUUAAAGAACUGUGAGCAUCAACAUGAAAUACAGUAAUAAUUGUGUUUUGGCACCAUAAUUAUAUGUUUUUUUAUAAUUUUUUUAGUGAGACAUAAUGUUUAUUUUUAUAAUGAAUUUAUAAUACAAUUAGACCACAGAGAUGUAAUCAUUUUAUAUAAAGCCCAUUUAAAAAUAUCAACUUUUAUAAAAUUUUAUCUUAAUUUUAUUACUUUUAUAUCUCUAUUACUUUUAUUAAGAUUUUAUUAACAAAUUUUAGUAUUACAAUACUGUGUAGGGAAAGCAUUCCCAGCCAGAUAUAAUAUUUAUUUUCAAAAAACACAUUUAGACAAAGUUGACAUAAGCUCUUUAUAUAAUAUUAGCUUAAAUACUUUAAUUUUUAUAGUCUUAUUAACCUGAGUAGCCUAACUGUUGCCCCAAAAACUUUUAUCCUUUUUACAUCUAUUUUGUUUAUUUAUUUCCAAUAAUUAUAUUUAGAUUGUCUACAAAAACCUUAUGAGAUGUCAGACAGAAAUAGUUAUUAUUUUGUUAUUACCUUUGUUGACUAAUUUUGUAACAGAGAUAACAUGAGCUCUUUUGAUCAGUAAACCCAGGCUGUAUGUCUGUGUUAUAUCUAAUGUUGAUAACUCUGAAAACAUAUUUAUUUUAAUUAAACCAACAAACUUAAACAAGUUUUUAUUUAUUAAAGAUUAUAUUAUGUUAACUUGAAAGACAUUUAGGCUAGUUUUUAUUAUAUUUAGAAAUAACUUGUAAAAGUGUUUACUCUAAGCCAAUUAAAUAGAGCUCCUUUAGAAACUGUACCAUCUGGAGGCCGACAAAUACACAUAGAGACAGAUAAACACAAACAGAGAUCUUCAAAAUUUUAGCCAGGUCUCAGGUACAAAACUCAGAAGAACAGUUAGAUCCAAACAGUUUUUCUAGCAGGUGGAUCUGCUCAGAUGGCCAAAAAUAUUUACUAAAGAUUUUUUUCUUUUGUUGUAAAGCCUUUUUACAGGUGUUUUUGAAAUAACUUUGUCUUUUAGAAGUUUCUGUAUAUUAAUUAAAGACUGCAUCUCAUCGUGAGAGGUUUUGAAUCCUCUCUUUUAAGGGUGACCCUUAAGGUGAACUCGUCUGAAACAGAGGUUCCCCAGAAUGACCAUUAUAAUUUCAAAUUAUCUCAAAAGUUUAUUUAUUUUCACUUGCUUAAUUUUAGAUCAGGAAUUUUGGGGGAGUUGAAGUGGGAAGCUCAGCAAGGGAGGAGAGAGAAGCAGAUUUAGCUUCAGCUGUUGGCAUGUUUAAUAUUUAAUUAUUUUUUUUUAAAGAGGCAGUACAGUAUUCCUGAUUUUAUUUAGAAGCCUCAAAAGAUUAAAAUAGGCUUCCCAUUGGUUGUUUAACUUUUUACCUGGCUUUUUUUAAUUGCAUAAGCAAAUACACCAGUUUUGGUAAACUGAAAUUGCCCCAUUUUGGCCACUUUCUCUCUGGAGUCUGUGGAAUAUUGUGGCCAUGUGGUGUUACAAGAAAAAAUUAUCUUUUUCUUGGACGUGGGCUCAUAGCUGAAGUCAGCCCAUUUAGCCAAGAGGUGGCCCAGAGAGCUUUUCCUGGGGACAAAUGGAGGCCCCCCCCUUCAAAAUUACAAACGUACAGAACAGAGAAUCAGAUGGGAUCCCAAACAGGACAGGUGCCCCCAACAGAUUUUGGGUAAAAGUCCUAUAAUUAUUUCCAUUCCAGUAGGGAUAGCCCUGCAUCUCAAAGAGAUAGGACCCCAGAUGGAGUGGAAGGGAGUUCUUGGUGUAAGCAAAAACAAACAAACAAUUUUAGAGCCUGUUUCCCUGUCAUAAGAAAAUGUGCCCAGGGUCAGCUGUGCUGGGUCAGAAGGAAAACACUGAGAACAGUCCCUAGGGCAAAUCACCUAGGCAGCUGCUGGACUGUUUCCCAGGACAUCCCAGCCGGCCCAGGGCCGCCGAGCCAUGGGCAAGAGCCUCCCAGCUGGCCUGCCAAAUUGUUAUUGGACACAUAUCCAGGCUCUCCAUUUGUCACAUAAGAGGGGCCAAAUAAAACUAAAACGCCAGGCUUAUGGCAAAGAAAGAGUUUUUAUUUUGGGUGACGUCAGCCGGGACCUGGAAUCUCCACCUUGGUUUCAGUUACCCUUUGUCUGAAUAGGAAAGCCAUCUCCUUAAUGGAAUCCCGCUCACAGUGCAAAUUAUGUUUUGAGAGGUUCGGUGGAUUGGAUCGGAGAUGUAAAGAAACUUUCCAACCCAGGCGAAUGGACUGAAUGUAUACUUUAUUGUAUAGAGAAGGGUAAAGGCAAAGGCAGCAAACAGAUUAUAUAGGGAAGGGUAAGGGCAAAGGCAGCAAACAUAUCCGAAUAGGUCAAAUAACAAGAGGGAAAAACAUCAGGUUGAUCAAAAAGGGAAAGUUCAGAUCGACCGAGAUAGAAACAGAUCCAAAUAGAUCAAAUAAGAGGGAAAUAACAACAGAUCAAUUGAAAAGAGAAACAUCAGAUUGACCGAAAAGAGAAAACAUCAGAUCGGGUACUUACAACAUCCACAGAGAAUCCCUUGAAUUGACAUGGCUAGGCAGGAGUUCUGAUCAACAGUGGUCCUGGGCAAGGCGUCCCCUCCCCAGGCGAGACUCUCACCCAAGCAGAAUUAAAAUUAAUUCCGGAAUUGGGCAGAAGGCUAUGAAGGGCCUGGGUGGCAGCACCAUGAAGAGCUUCCCCGUGGCUCCCCUAGUUCUCCUGGUUUUCAUCCUGAGUGUCCAUCUCGGAGCUGCCAUACGUGGCAGUGAUGUGGCCUAGUUCUGCUGCUUCCAGUACAGCCACAAGAUCCUUCCCUGGAAAUAUGUGCGUUCCUAUGAAUUCACCAGGAGCAGCUGCUCUCAGGGGGCUGUGAUACUCACUACCAAAAGAGGCAAGAAAGUCUGUGCACAGCCAAAGGAAAAAUGGGUGCAAAGAUACAUUUCUUUACUGAGAGCCCAGUAACGAUUGUGACAGCCAGAUUUCCAGCCCAAGGACGCUGGACCCUGCGUCCAGUGUCUUGGCUCUGCUGCCCUUGACGGAGCCUGGAGAAUUUCUUCAGCAGAAUGCUUUGUGGGCCUGGUGGGGACGAGACGGCAUCUUCUGCCAGAGUUUUAUUUAAUAAAGGUUUUUCAUAAAGAAAAAAAAAAAGAAAAUUAAUUCCUUUAGGGAAAGAAAUACAUCUUUUCUAUUAUAAAGAAUAUUUCUUGACUUUAGGCAAA